rnacentral:rRNA from 1 species
CCUAUUCCCUUUCCGGGGCAGCAGUAGGGAAUCUUCGGCAAUGGACGGAAGUCUGACCGAGCAACGCCGCGUGAGUGAAGAAGGUUUUCGGAUCGUAAAGCUCUGUUGUUAGAGAAGAACGUUGGUAGGAGUGGAAAAUCUACCAAGUGACGGUAACUAACCAGAAAGGGACGGCUAACUACGUGCCAGCAGCCGCGGUAAUACGUAGGUCCCGAGCGUUGUCCGGAUUUAUUGGGCGUAAAGCGAGCGCAGGCGGUUCUUUAAGUCUGAAGUUAAAGGCAGUGGCUUAACCAUUGUACGCUUUGGAAACUGGAGGACUUGAGUGCAGAAGGGGAGAGUGGAAUUCCAUGUGUAGCGGUGAAAUGCGUAGAUAUAUGGAGGAACACCGGUGGCGAAAGCGGCUCUCUGGUCUGUAACUGACGCUGAGGCUCGAAAGCGUGGGGAGCAAACAGGAUUUAGAAACCGGGUUUAUUCCCAAA